rnacentral:lncRNA from 1 species
AAAUGAGUCACACUUUUAGACCAAAAAAAACGAGUCACCCUUUUCUCUUUCAGGCUUUGAUUGAAUGGUAUGUUUAGCAGAACUUUUAUCGGUGGAAAAUUAUUACUCUGAGUUACUUUAUGAAGUAGCCAAUCAGGUAAAUUUGCCUUUUUUUAUAUUUACUCUAAUUACUAUUCAGACAAAAGAAUUCUUACUCACAUUGUUGCGCUAGGUUUUAGUGGGUGUAACUCUUUUUUUGCUUUUCCUCAUUUUCUCACUUUUUUAUUUUUUUUUUCCCAUUUUCUUCUUAUUUCUUUUUUUCAUUUACUCUAAAAAUUGCCAGCCACACUCUCAGUUUUAGAAGAGUAAAACUAAUAACUAGGCAUGGGCGUUCUGCGUUCGGAUAUUCGGGUCUGGUUCGGACAUGUUCCUUUUGGAUUUGGAUCUUUCGGAUCCUAGACAUUUGGACCCAAUAGUUACUUGUGAAUUGUUGGUUCGGAUUCGGAUUCGGAUCGGUUCUUUUUGAAUUCGGAUCGAUUUGGAUCGAUAAUUAAAAUACCUAUAAAAUAUCUGUAAUUUUGGUUACAUAUCGAGUCUGGGUCGGAUUCGAAUAUUUAUGAUGUGAAAAGGACACGAAAUACUCAAAAACCCAUCAAAUUUAAUCAAAACAUGUCAUAUAUAUCUAAAAUUUUACAAUAACUUAAAAUAAACUAUUAAUAAUUACAAAAAUUAUUUUUAAACCCAUCAAAUUUAAUCAAAA